AAAUUUAAUCCAAUUAACCUUCUAACCCGAUCCCAUCAGAUCUCAGAAACAGCGCAGGUUUAGACUGAAUCAGUACUGGGAUGGGAGACCUCUAAGGAAGACCUUGUUGCUUUUC
rnacentral:rRNA from 1 species